GACGAACGCUGGCGGCGUGCUUAACACAUGCAAGUCGAACGGAAAGGCCCUGCUUUUGUGGGGUGCUCGAGUGGCGAACGGGUGAGUAACACGUGAGUAACCUGCCCUUGACUUUGGGAUAACUUCAGGAAACUGGGGCUAAUACCGGAUAGGAGCUCCUGCUGCAUGGUGGGGGUUGGAAAGUUUCGGCGGUUGGGGAUGGACUCGCGGCUUAUCAGCUUGUUGGUGGGGUAGUGGCUUACCAAGGCUUUGACGGGUAGCCGGCCUGAGAGGGUGACCGGGCACAUUGGGACUGGGAUACGGCACAGACGCCUACGGGGGGCAGGAGUGGGGAAUAUUGCACAAAGGGCGGAAGCCUGAUGCAGCAACGCCGCGUGCGGGAUGACGGCCUUCGGGUUGUAAACCGCUUUCGCCUGUGACGAAGCGUGAGUGACGGUAAUGGGUAAAGAAGCACCGGCUAACUACGU
rnacentral:rRNA from 1 species